AAAAUUUGGUGGUCUCUAUGGGGUUUGGUAUUUGGAAAUUACUGUUAGUGAGAAGAAAUGGAGGAAGGAUCUUAUAUGUUAUGUUUCCUUCUGAGUGAAUGAAAUCUGUAUGAGCUGAUUAGCAAAAUGGCUUCCAUGAUCCACCUACUGGAUAGCUUAUGUGAAGGCAUUUAAAAAAAUAAGGUAUAUUAGCAAGGGUUCUCCAGAGAAAUAGAAGCAACAGAAUUACAUAUUGCUAUCUUUAUAUGUCUAUGUCUGUGUCUAUGUCUAUGUCUAUGUCUAUGUUUAUAUCUAUCUUUGUUGCUAUCUAUCUAUCUAUCUAUCUAUCUAUCUAUCUAUCUGGGUUUAUUUUAAGGAAUUGGCUCAUGUGGUUGUGGAGGGUUAGUGAGUCCAAAACCUGUUUGUGCAGGCCAGCAGACUGGAGACCCACAGGAGAGUUGCACUUCAAGUCCAAGGUCAGUCCACCUGCAGAAUUCUUUUUUCUCAGGGGGAAGAUCAGUUUUUGUUCUAAUAAAGCCUUCAAUUGAUUGAAUGGGGCCCACCCACAUUAUGGAGGGCAGUCUGCUUUGCCCAAAGUCAGCCAAUUUAAAUACAAAUCUCAUUCAAAAACCA
rnacentral:lncRNA from 1 species